UGUACGAUAAAACAAACAAACAAUGGGCCGGAGGAAAUAAAGAAAGAACAUAAAACAAAGUGUUCAAUAGGAAACCAAAUGGGGAUAGAAUCGAUCGUAUCUGAGUAUACACCACACACACGUAUUCUUGGUGUGAUUAAUCUAGAAAAGACGGAGAAACGCUGAGGAGGAUGUAGACGAUAGACGGAAGCGGAAAGACCGAUAGAAUGGCGUACCGAAUGGUAUAAAAGGCUAUAUAACGGGCGUUGGCUGAUUCGUAACUACAGACUUGCAAUAAAUUCGCGCACGUUUCACGGAAAUUCACGACACCAGACCGGACGAGACUGACGACGAGUAAAAUAAGAAGGAAAGGAAGGAGAAGGGUCAUGGAAUGCGAAAGAGGCAUAUAGCAUACCACACUAUUGGUGAGAUCGUCCUCGAAAUAUACACGACUUUCGAUCGAUUCGCGACGCGACUCACAUUCGAAACGAGAAAUCCUAAAGAUUUCGAGACCCUUGAAUCUACUCUCUUUCUUUUUCUUUCUCUCUUUCUCUCUCUCUCUCUCUCUCUCUAUCUCUCUCUCUCUCUCUCUCUCUCUCUCUCUCUCUCUUUCUCUCUAUCUCUCUCUAUCUCUCGUCUUUUGCGAGCUUCCUUUUUCGGAAAUCGAGUGCUAAUAAACUCCCAGCAUCCCCGAACGGAUGCUGUAACGAACGUGAAAGUCGAUCUUUAAGAAAGAGAGAGAGAGAGAGAGAAAGAAAAAGAAAGAGAGAAAAAGAGACAGUCAUUACGGUCUUCCUUUUGUUAUAAUACGUCGUGUGAAAUUGUUUCUCGUGCCUCCGAUACGAGAGAUCGUAAUUUCUCGUGAGAAAGAAAAAGAAGGUAAUCGAGGUAAAUGAGUGUAAAAAUUUGUUGAAUAUUACGAAAUGAGAAAUGAAGAAAAGAAUUAGUUCGAUAUUAAGUGAUUCAAUUAAAAUUCGUAAUUGGUCUACUAAAAAAAAAAAAGAAAUUGAUUACAAGAGAGAACGAUGAAGAGGGAUUUAUUAAGGGACGUGGAACACCCGGUAUAUUAGUACGUACAUACGUAUAUAAAAGCAGAAUGUACUUGUUCGCGUUGUUCGAACGUGUUAAGAAUAAUUUUCUGUUGUAGUUUUAUACUACGGAAGAACCAUUAGCAAACGCAUUGUAUAUGUUUCUAUGAGAGAUAUUUCUUUUUUUUCUUUUUCUUUGUAUGUAUAUUUUCUUUACCUUUUAUGUUCCUAUCUCAUUUUUAAUAAAUUUUUCAUGAACGAGAAGUAAAAUCUUAUAUUGCUACUCAAUUUCUGUAAAACUUGUUAACGAAUGUUGUAUUAUUUCUAUGAAAAUUUGUACAGACGAUUGGCGUAAUUCAUUUCAUUUCGUUUCAUUUCUUUUUCUUUCUCUCUCUCUCUCUCUCUCUCUCUCUCUCUCUCUCUCUCUCUCACUUUCUAUUUGAGAUCUUAUGCAUUAAAGAAAAAGAGUAAGACCUCCCGGUACUUCGCGUUCCAUUUCCUACCUAUCUCUUGUUUACGUACUCCAUCAGCAGAAUCUCCAUUUUUUACGUUACCCUUUUAUCCCCUCCUAAGAAAGAAAGAAAAGAUAAAGAAAGAGAAAAAAGGGGAUAUGAAGGAAAGAAUAAAUGGAUCGUCAAAUAAUCCGAUGCUCGAGUUUCAUUUUGGCGUACAAAUUUUAAAAGAAGAAUGGACAUAACGGAGAAGUAAUUCGACGAUGAUCGGGUACACGAAGUGGAUAGGAAAGGGCACGAGAAGAAGUCGAUAUCAUGGUACGAAUAAAUUCGAUGCACUUGCAAAAGAAAGAAUGGAAAAGAAAGCAUAACAAUGACGACAAGGACGAGGACGAAGAUAAGGAAUGUUCUUAAAGGACCACCAAAGAGAAAUAAAUUCAUAGUGUGCGACGCUUUUAAAGUUUAUCUAGGUAUCACGUAGAAACUCUGGAACAGUUCGUACCUAUUUCACGCUUGGAUGCUGUGAGGAGUUCGUCCGUCGUUCUUUCCCAAGCUACACGACACGUUCUGAGGGUCUAAACUCGUUCGAAGAAAAGCAUUUCAUCCGUUUGAAUUGGUUGCCUACGUAGUCGCGAAAUUGCACGGUAUUUUCAUAGCGUAUCUUAAAAAAAAAAUAAAGAAAAGAAAAAGAAAAAGAAAAAAGUGACACCUCAAUUAUUUCACGUUUUAUGCAAUUCCUUCUCUUUUUCCAUUUCCUGUCGAUAUCAACAUUGACGAUGUAAUAUGGGCGUAUUUGAAAGUUAAUAAAAUGAGCUUUUAAUUGAGAAACUAGGGGAAGGAUAUUUUAAAUUGACUUAUUCGAUAUCCAUAUUAAAUCUCCAUUUAAUAAUGAAAAAAU